rnacentral:lncRNA from 1 species
GAAUAAACGAGAAAUAGAGGCGGAAUAGGAGAAGGAGCUAAGAUGUUUGUCGGGUUCCUGAAGAUGCGUCGACGUGUUAUCAUCCACGCAAGCUUCCCCAACCCAGCCAGUGUACCACAGGACGGGAGGAGGAAGCCAGCGGCUGCAUGCACCAUUGAACAGGACGGCAUUGUAUUCCUCCCACAGGAGUGACUACAGCGAAGCAAGCCCAGAAUAAAGUGUUGAGUGACCGUGAUGAUUCAGUACUACUAACACCAAACAAGUGAGGAAGUGUUCGGAGUGAACGUGCAAGACAUACAACAGACACCAGACUGCUGCCGCUGCUGCUACUGCCGGUGUAGCCAAAGGAACAAAAGGUCCGGAGCAAGAGGAAGAAAUGGGUGAUUCUUGGAAACGCACCAAUGAAGUUGUGAAGAUGUCUCGGGUGUGUCGCCUAGUGCGUUCCCUUGUCCCGCUACGAGAGAGAGCGAUUCGGAUCACCACCAUGUCGAGCUGCCUGCCACCCUCCCUCCAUUGUCCUUCCCCUCUCACUUGAGUAUUGUGAACGUUGUAUUUAUUUUCAUCACGCCUCUGUGUUUGUAAAGGGAGAGUGUUCCAAUAAGUGAGCUCUGUUUGCAGUCACAUGUGUAUUUCAAAGGUGUUUUGCCAAGUGCUGUGCUGAGGUGUUGUGGUGUAUCUGUCUAUACGGUGUUCGAGCUAGCUUUCGCCCAUGUUUGUGACGCUACCUUCCGUACUGCAUUUAAUGUCUGUGGAUUUCCCGUUUUUACCCACUCUCCUGAUAAACCUUAAAAGCGUGGUUAUGUUGGUUCAGUGUACAUUUCCCUCGUGUAACGGAGUGGUAAGUCAACCUCCCUCCACGUACAACAGUGUCGGGAAUCAUUUCCCCCGUGUCACGGUGUCAUGGGAUAUUUUCUCUUAUAUUUGUUUGCUUGUGGGCUAAUGAUACGUGUAGUGUGGCAUACUGGUGAGUGAAGCUGCAUUGCAUAACUCUCUACUCUCCAUCGUGGAUCUGUUUCCCCAUGAUUAUUACUCUUGUAUGGGUUAUCAUUGGUGCUUGUUAGUGAAGCUAUCUUUGCUUAAUAUAUGUACUAUUUUU